rnacentral:lncRNA from 10 species
AUCCGAGCCAUAUCACUGCCCUUCCACGCUUGUGUUACGACACCUCAAACCAGGUCAAGAAAAUUAUAUCCCUCCUGGAAUGCAAAGAUAUAAACAUGUUCUAAGGAGGCAUGACAGCUAUGCUCAAGAUUCAGGCGCUCAAAUAAUUAGAAAAGGCACGCUAUACACAUUUGCUACUGAAAUCAGUGACUUCAAAUGCCUGCGGUGUUCUAAACAUAUUGUGGGUCCUCAUGGGAUGGAAGAAAGUGCAUUGGAUUUGAAAUGGGAAUAUUUGGCUCAGGCCCUGGUGGUCUGAUGCCUCUAUGUCUAUUUCACACCAUGUGAGGUAAUUUAUUUGAAAUUCAUCACCUUGUUCAGUCCUUGUAGUGAUUCUCUGAGCUAGCAAUUAUCCCGAUUAGAUAGCUGGGGAAGCCAAGGUUUAGUAGAGUAAAACAAUGAUGCAUGACUGGCACAUGGUAGACUUUAGGAAGCUCAGUUCUCCUGAUCUCAGU